rnacentral:misc_RNA from 1 species
GGAAGUAAAGGUCGUAACAAGGUCUCCGUUGGUGAACCAGCGGAGGGAUCAUUACAGGACUCGCAAGACUCCUACAACCCUGUGAACUUAACUAUAAGCACGUUGCUUCGGCGGGUGUCUCGGAGGGGGUUCUCCCUCCCCGAGACGCUAAACCCGCCGGCAGCCUACUAUACUCUGUCUCUUUGCGUUGGCAUCUCGAGUACAAUCAAACAAGUUAAAACUUUCAACAACGGAUCUCUUGGUUCUG